AAGUCCCGUAACGAGCGCAACCCUUGUCCUGUGUUGCAAACCGAAAGGUGCACUCUCAGGAGACCGCCAGCGAUAAGUUGGAGGAAGGUGGGGAUGACGUCAAGUCAUCAUGGCCUUUAUGUCCAGGGCUACACACGUGCUACAAUGGUCGGUACAAAGCGCUGCAAACCCGCGAGGGGGAGCUAAUCGCAAAAAGCCGAUCUCAGUUCGGAUUGCAGGUUGCAACUCGCCUGCAUGAAGCUGGAAUCGCUAGUAAUGGCGUAUCAGAACGACGCCGUGAAUACGUUCCCGGGCCUUGUACACACCGCCCGU
rnacentral:rRNA from 1 species